rnacentral:lncRNA from 1 species
GGCGGGCCAUGAAACGGACGCCACCGCAACGGCGAACACGAGCCCAUCUUGCUGAAUGCCCGUACUGCAACUGACGCUGCGGCUGUGGGCUGUGCCCGUUGUCCACACACCACACAACACACCCCGCGCCGCUGUGCGGGCGGCUGGACGGCCCCAAGGCGCCAGGUCCAAGCUCCCCUGCGCCCCAGGCCGAUGCAUGCAAGCGCCUGGGAUCGACGCACGGCUUGCGCGGUGCGUCUCCACUACUGCCGGGUGCGAUGGGACUGAUGGGACGCCGCCUCGCCGAGCACUUGUCAGCGCUACAAAGCUUUGUAUGCCUGUGGCUGUCUAGAAUGUCUGGUACUUAUUUGGAUGCUCAUGCGCGUGUGGUGCCAGUGCCAGCACUCAGCGGGCCACGCGUGUGUCGGCCCCUCAGGUCACGCGCUCCACGUGUCCAUCACCGCAUGCCGCAUACGGGCCAGCGGGCCCCAUCCCCC